UCGUGAUUGAUGUAGCUGACCAUGCAA
rnacentral:sRNA from 1 species